AACUGGUCGGGAGUUGAUGCCGCUCUCCUGACGAGAAACCAGUU
rnacentral:hammerhead_ribozyme from 15 species